rnacentral:rRNA from 1 species
UCGAGGAUCUUCGGCAAUGGGCGCAAGCCUGACCGAGCGACGCCGCGUGCGGGAUGAAGGCUUUCGGGUUGUAAACCGCUGUCAGAGGGGAUGAAAUGUAGGUGGGUUCUCCCAUCUAUUUGACAUAUCCUCAGAGGAAGUACGGGCUAAGUUCGUGCCAGCAGCCGCGGUAAGACGAACCGUACGAACGUUAUUCGGAAUUACUGGGCUUAAAGGGUGCGUAGGCUGCGCAGAAAGUUGGGUGUGAAAUCCCUCGGCUUAACCGAGGAACUGCGCCCAAAACUGCUGUGCUCGAGGGAGACAGAGGUGAGCGGAACUUAGGGUGGAGCGGUGAAAUGCGUUGAUAUCCUAAGGAACACCCGUGGCGAAAGCGGCUCACUGGGUCUCUUCUGACGCUGAGGCACGAAAGCUAGGGUAGCGAACGGGAUUAGAUACCCCCGUAGUCC